rnacentral:lncRNA from 1 species
UGUUGUUGUUGUUGCUGCUAUUUCUUGGGCCGCUCCCGCGGCAUAUGGAGGUUCCCAGGCUAGGGGUCCAAUCUGAGCUGUAGCCACCGGCCUACGCCAGAGCCACAGCAACGCGGGAUCCGGGCCACCUCUGCAACCUACACCACAGCUCACGGCAACGCCGGAUCGUUAACCCACUGAGCAAGGGCAGGGACCGAACCCGCAACCUCAUGGUUCCUAGUCGGAUUCGUUAACUACUGCGCCACGACGGGAACUCCAUACCAUAUCUUCUUUAUCUACUAUUCUGUUGAUGGACACUUCAGCUCCUUCCAUGUCUUGGCAAUUAUAAAUAACGAGACUGUGAACAUUAGGGUACAUGUAUAUUUUCAAAUUAGUCUUUUUGUUUUUUUUUUCAGAUAUAUACCCAGAUUGGAAUUACUGAGUCAUGUGGUAGUUCUAUUUUUAUUUUUUUAAGAAACCUCCAUACUGUUUUCCAUAGUGGCUGCACCAAUUUAUAUUCCCACCAACAAUGUACAAGGGUUCCCUUAUCUCCAUAUCCACACAAAUAUUUCCUACUGGUAUUCAUUUUGAUGAUAUCCAUUCUGACAGGUGCAAGGUGAUUAUCUCAUUGUCGUUUUAAUUUGCAUUUGCCUGAUGAUUAACGAUGUUGGGAGUUUUUGCAUGUCCCUGUUGGCCAUCUGUAUGUCUUCUUUGGAAAAGUAUUUAUUUAUAUCUUCUGCCUAUUUUUUAAUUGGGUUAUUUUUUUGAUGUUGAGUCAUAUGAGCUAUUUAUGUAUUUUGAAUUAUCAACCCCAUAUUACAGGGGCUGGGGGUCAGGAAGAAUAGGUAGUUAAUGCUUAAUGGUUAUAGAAUUUCAGUUCAGAAUGAUGAAAAAGUUCCAGAGAUGGAGACUGCUGAUGGUUAUACAACUAAACUAUAAACUAAAUGCUACUAAAUUACAUACUUAAAAUGUUCUUAAUGCUACUAAAUUUUAACUUACUUAAAAUGGCUAAAUAGUAAAUUUUGUUACAUAUAUUAUCACCACAAUAAAAAAGUGAAAAAUAUAUAAAUAUUACUUUAUGAAUUACCUGUCCAAAUAAUAUUUUGUAAACGCACAUCACAAAAUCCUAAUAGUUCUUAAUGUUAAAUUAUUAAGAAAAAAGUAGUUAAAAAUAAUAGUACCUGGUUUCUCUAAAAAAACAAACACAGAGUUCCCGUUGUGGUGCGGUGGAAACAAAUCCAACUAGAACCAUGAGGUUGCAGGUUUGAUCCCUGGCCUUGCUCAGUGGGUUAGGGUUCCGGAGUUGCUAUGAACUGUGGUGUAGCAGCUCAGAUUUGGCAUUGCUGUGGUAUAGACCAGCAGCUAUAGCUCCAAUUCACCCCAUAGCCUAGGAACCUCCAUGUGCCAUGGGUACAGCCCUAAAAAGAUUAAAAAAAAAAAAAACACCAAAAAAAAAAAAAAAACCCACAAACACAAUACCAAAACAAAACAAAACAAACAAACAAAAAAAAAACUAAACAUGGCCAUAAUCAACAUAUCUAUAUGUCCUUAACAUUCACACAUAAAUUCAUUUCCAUUUUCUCAGCAGAAGGUUGUAUGCAAUCAGUAUUUUUACAAUUCUGCUUUUAUUGUGUUUUCUUCUAUGCAGGUAAAGACUAUACAUGCAAAGGUCUACUCUCUACAUGGUGCAAAAUUUUCAGAGUUGUUAAUAAGCAUCUAAUAAGGAGCUACAUAAUAUCAAGUAAAAUGAUAAGUUGGGAAUUCCUAAAUUCCCACUCUGUACGUUAAAUCAUAUCCUAAACUUUGGGAAACAUGUAAGAAAAUAAGUUAAAAUUUACAUUCAUCCGAUUAUAUACAAAAGCUGACUCACCUGUUAUGAAACAUAAUGGUAAUAAUAUUUUGCUGCUGAUUUUUAUAAAAGUGAUUCAUAUUCAAAUAAAUCUAACUGAAAUUCACAGAAUUAUGACAUUGUUAAAAACACGAACUUCAGUUUUUAACUUUGUAAUACUUCAAUACGAUAAACUACACAUAUAUCAAUUUCUAUUCUGUGAUUAUGUCAAAGAAAUUACAUUGACGUAACACAUAGCUAAGUUCACCAUUAAUAUUGAUCUAAUUCAUAAUUCAUUUAAUGUGAUUCACUUAUAAGUCUUGACCUUACCUUACUAACUAAAUUUAAUAAUAAAUUUUAAUAUUGGUUUAUUAGUUUCUUCUCUGGUAAUUACCAUACCAGAAAAUACGUAGUACUGAAUAAGUUUCCAAGAUCUGCUCACGAAACCAUUAUUGUAUACCAAAGUCUCAUUAAAAAAUAAAUUUACCUAAGAUAAAAAGAAUAAAAGCAAAGAAAGAGGUAUAUUCAAGAGUUCAGACUUCCUAACUUAGGGCCCCAUGUGUAUUCCUUCUAGAAAUAGCUAUUUCAAGUGAAAAUAAAUCCUUCAGUCUAUAAUUUUCCUACUUUUCCACUGAAUUAUAUAAAGCAAAAGUUAAGUAAGCCAUUGCAGUGUCCUCCCAUAAAAAAAAAAAAAAACUAGAGAUUACUUUUCCCUAUUAUACUCCUCCGCUAUAUGUUCCUUAAGAAAUAUUGUGGAUUUAGUGUCCAAAAGAUCUAUCCAGUAAAACCCACAUAUUUGUAUAAGUUCUUAGCAGUUUUACAUUCAGAUUUAGAGUUAACAACAACUUCCUAG